AAGACCCCUGAGAGAUGAUCAGGUAGAUAGGCUGGAAGUGGAAGUGCAGCGAUGCAUGGAGCGGACCAGUACUAAUCGGGUCGAGGACUUAACCAA
rnacentral:rRNA from 1 species